rfam:Schistosoma curassoni strain Dakar, Senegal genome assembly, scaffold: SCTD_scaffold0000755
GCACUGAUGAGGAGUUCCACAAUAGAACGGAACGGCCGUCCAGUGC